GACGUAGGGCGCGAGCGUUGUCCGGAUUUAUUGGGCGUAAAGAGCUCGUAGGCGGCUUGUCGCGUCGUCCGUGAAAACCUGGGGCUCAACUGUGGGCUUGCAGUCGAUACGGGCAGGCUGGAGUUCGGUAGGGGAGACUGGAAUUCCUGGUGUAGCGGUGAAAUGCGCAGAUAUCAGGAGGAACACCGGUGGCGAAGGCGGGUCUCUGGGCCGAUACUGACGCUGAGGAGCGAAAGCGUGGGGAGCGAACAGG
rnacentral:rRNA from 1 species